rnacentral:lncRNA from 1 species
AAAAACAAAGCUAACUAAAUAAAUCAGUCUGGUUUGCCAAUCCAGCUUGACUAAGUAAACUAAUCACUUGCAACAUGAAAAACUGUCCAACUCCUCUAAGGUUUUGACAAAAUAACCUUGGCUGAUGUGGGAAAACUCCCACUUUGAUUUCUGACCUGACAGUGAAGGUUCAUGCUUGACAUGGUUUCAAACCUGACAGUGUCUGUUUAAGGAGCUAUGGUACAGUUUGCUAAUUCAAUCUCAGAUACCUGUUGAUUACCUGUGAGAUCUAGAGUCCAAAGUAUGAUGAUUUAGGGAUGAAGUUGGCCCUCUUUUUAGCAUAAGUUGGGAAUGUACACUGGUCAGAGGCUUCCAGCCAUGAGGUGUGAACUGAAACCUAUUUUCCCUCUUUU